GGGGGAGUGGGGAUUGGGGUGGAGGAAGACUCCCCACCCCCACCCCUUGCUUCCCACUUUCCACUGCGCAGAUCCAUCAAGAGCUCCCUGUCCAGAAAAAGGAGAAAUGUGUGUGAGCAUCUCCACUGGAAAAGUGAUAUUAUGUGCUGUGAAUCAUAGAAUACCACAAUAUUUAAAGAAUCAAAAUUAUGGAUGAAGAAAAGGACAAUGGAAAGUCCCGUGAUAGACAUAAGUAGCUUGUGGCUUAUUGUUAAUGAGGACACACUCAAGAAGAGGUGCAAAUAGUAUCAUCCAAAAAAUGUAGGAGUAGGCCCUUCCAAGUCCAUCUGAGGCAGCAUGAAAUAGAGGAAAGAUCCUUGGACUUGGAGUCUGAAGAUGAAGGCCCCUCUUAAUCUCCUCCACGUUUGGUUUGGGGAGGAUGGAAAGAGCUGAAUAAUUGUCCUUUCUCUGCAGCUGGAUGUACACCUGGCCUUAGAUUGCACCUCACUCCCUUGCCAGCAAAGGGAGUUUUAAAGAGAGGAGAAAGUUACAAGAACUCAGACCAUUGUUUUCUGUUUCAGAAACACUCAAGGCUGCAAGCAAAAUUCAGAGAAGAUUUGGAGAGUUGUAAAAACAUUUUUUUUUAAAGACAAGAAAAAUCUCUAUGCAGAAAAAUCACUCCCACAAAUUGUGAAAAUCCUCAUCUGGGUCUCAGGCUCUGCUGUUCAUUUAUUCCUAUUUCAGUACGCUGGUUUCCAUGAAGAUCAUAAAAUUUUGCCACUUCCCCCCCCCAAAAAAAAAGAUAGAGUCAUAGUUUCUUGGAAAGCCCAGCAUGGCCUAAUUCUGGCCAAAUCCUCCUACUUCUUAUUAGAUAUGUCAAACUUCUGGAAAUGUUGAAUCCAUGAAUGUAAAAAACAACUCUUCUGUAAGCCUAAAGCUCAUUCUUAGUUUAGGAACAUGCAAAUAUGUUACAUAAUAACUUGGUUUGUUCAAAAUAUCAUCAUGUUUGCUAUAGUUGGAAAUUUAAAGAGCUUUGUAAGUAAAAAAUUUUCUUCCUUUUUUUUUCCUCUCCAGUUUUGAAAAGGAAAGGGAAAAGGUCUUGAAAAAAUAUUUUUCUCUCCUGUUUUGUUUUGUUUUGUUUUCUGUUACAUUUUUCCCCCCUAGGCAUUCACAGCUCAGUUUAGUAGCAUGCAUUCAUACACACAGACACACACACACACACACACACACACACACACACACACACUUAAUCCUUCCCAGACAGCUAUCUGUAGUCAGCCUUAAACUCAGUAUUUUCUCUAAUUGAAGUAUUGCAAUUGAAAUCCAUUGACAAGUCUUUUUAUUUUACUCAUAAAGUCUGGGGAAGAGGGGGAAGUAUUAUCAUCUUUUUGUGGACAGGAACAUUAAGCCUCUAUCAAAGGAGGAUCCCAACUUAGCUAACUUUGGACCUCAUUUGGACCCAACUUUGGACCUCAUUCUGCCAAGAAGACCUAGGCUGAAAAGUCAAUUUAAAUCAAUUUGAAUCCCAUUACGCUCCAAAGGUUUCCCAGACUUGACUUUGUGAUAAUGAAUUCAUUGUCUAGGGGGCUUAUUCUUGUAGCUUUUCUUUUUAAAACAAUUGAAUGAUAAGCUCAUUAUUUUACCACAGCAGGUAGUUUCCAGAGCACUCUUAACCAAAAGGAAGAGACUGAGUUUAUAAUCCUACCCUGAGUCCCAUGAAUGUUGCUGAUCUGAGGCUAACAGUUUCAGGGUCUUCUGCCUCUUCUUCCUCACAUUGAAUCUGGGAACCACAUGCUCAUCGCCUCACAGGCUCUGAAGGCCUUGAAGGAACUGGAAGAGACCUCACAGAUGCUCUAAUCCCCCCAUUUUACAGUAAUAAGGAAAUUCAACAAGAAUUGUUUAAAUACCUGUAACAUGUCAGACACUGUUCUAAGUACUGUGAGUUAAGAUAAAAACACAAUGGUCCUUGA